CAGUCGAGGGGCAGCAUGGAAGUUUGCUUGCAAACUUUUGAUGGCGACCGGCGCACGGGUGAGUAACACGUAUCCAACCUGCCUCAUACUCGGGGAUAGCCUUUCGAAAGAAAGAUUAAUACCCGAUGUCAUAGUCCUACCGCAUGAUGGGAUUAUUAAAGAAUUUCGGUAUGGGAUGGGGAUGCGUUCCAUUAGUUAGUUGGCGGGGUAACGGCCCACCAAGACAACGAUGGAUAGGGGUUCUGAGAGGAAGGUCCCCCACAUUGGAACUGAGACACGGUCCAAACUCCUACGGGAGGCAGCAGUGAGGAAUAUUGGUCAAUGGACGAGAGUCUGAACCAGCCAAGUAGCGUGAAGGAUGACUGCCCUAUGGGUUGUAAACUUCUUUUAUAUGGGAAUAAAAUGUUCCACGUGUGGGAUUUUGUAUGUACCAUAUGAAUAAGGAUCGGCUAACUCCGUGCCAGCAGCCGCGGUAAUACGGAGGAUCCGAGCGUUAUCCGGAUUUAUUGGGUUUAAAGGGAGCGUAGGUGGAUUGUUAAGUCAGUUGUGAAAGUUUGCGGCUCAACCGUAAAAUUGCAGUUGAAACUGGCAGUCUUGAGUACAGUAGAGGUGGGCGGAAUUCGUGGUGUAGCGGUGAAAUGCUUAGAUAUCACGAAGAACUCCGAUUGCGAAGGCAGCUCACUGGACUGCAACUGACACUGAGGCUCGAAAGUGUGGGUAUCAAACAGGAUUAGAUACCCUGGUAGUCCACACAGUAAACGAUGAAUACUCGCUGUUUGCGAUAUA
rnacentral:rRNA from 1 species